ACAUUCUCAUGUAUUAUUGGUUAUUGCAUAAUAAGUCUGUUAUGUACAUUGUUAACACGUGAAAUAAUUAUGUAUUUAACCGAUGAGUAAGGCUACAUCCAAGUCUUUUUAUAAACCAAGUCCAACCAAGUUUAACAAUAAGAUUUGGAAUAAUGCUAGUCAUAACUAAUUUUUAUUAUAUUAGACUAACUUGGUUAUAUUUAGUUAACAAAAAAACUUAGAUGUGUAGUAUUAAUGCUAAAGAGACAAAAAAAGAAAAAUAGUCCAAACUUGUCUUAUUUAGUAUUCAUUGAUUGUUGUAAUAAUUAAUAAAUGCUAAAUAAAGUAAAUUUUGGUUAAUUUUUUUAGUUAUCAAAUAUUUUCAACUGGAUACAGCAUGUAGUUGAAGUUUGGAUAAAAAUAGGCUUUUAGAAUCACACAAGUAUUUCUUAAGUUUUAUGGUAACAAAGAGUAGAAAUGAUGUAAUAAGUUAAUUAUCUAGAGUUUAAUUCAAACAUGAUAUUUUAUAUUCAAACAAAAUUACAAAAAUACUUAUUUCAUAUGUUAGUAUACGAUUAAACUUAUUGUACGAAAAAUAUGUAAAAAAAGGAUAAUCUAAUUUCGAAAGGGUAUACGAAUAAUUUAGAAAAUUGGUUGCAAGGUUUAUGCCCCUCUUAUAGUUUACGCAUUCGCUUAUUUCUCCUAGAUUUUGGUGGCAUUGGUGAGCAUAUUUAGCUUAUAUAUGUUAUCCUCAAGCUAUGGCUUUAGUGGUAUCUGGAUUGCUUUGUCUAUUUACAUGAGCCUCAGGACAUUUGCUGGCUUUUGGAGGAUAGGUACUAGAUCAGGACCUUGGCACUUCCUGAAG